GAGGAAGGUAGUGUAGUUAAUAGCUGCAUUAUUUGACGUUAGCGACAGAAGAAGCACCGGCUAACUCCGUGCCAGCAGCCGCGGUAAUACGGAGGGUGCGAGCGUUAAUCGGAAUUACUGGGCGUAAAGCGCAUGCAGGUGGUUUGUUAAGUCAGAUGUGAAAGCCCGGGGCUCAACCUCGGAAUUGCAUUUGAAACUGGCAGACUAGAGUACUGUAGAGGGGGGUAGAAUU
rnacentral:rRNA from 1 species